rnacentral:tRNA from 1 species
CACUGUAGAGCUAGAUUAGCAUUAACCUUUUAAGUUAAAGACUAAGAGGGCCGCCGCCUCUUUACAGUGA